GCUCCUGUAGUGUAGUCCGGCCAAUCAUUCCGGCCUUUCGAGCCGGUGACCCGGGUUCGAAUCCCGGCGGGAGCA
rnacentral:tRNA from 1 species